GAGCACGUAGGUGGGUUUGUAAGUCAGAUGUGAAAGCCUUCUGUUCAACGGAAGAAUUGCAUCUGAAACUGCAAGUCUUGAGUGUAGGAGGGGAGAAUGGAACUUCUGGUGGAGCGGUGAAAUGCGUAGAUAUCAGAAGGAACGCCGGCGGCGAAAGCGAUUCUCUGGCCUAUUACUGACACUCAGUGUGCGAAAGCUAGGGGAGCAAACGGGAUUAGAUACCCCGGUAGUCCUAGCCGUAAACGAUGGGCACUAAGUAGAGGGAAUUACCGAUGUUCUCUCUGCCGUAGCUAACGAAUUAAGUGCCCCGCCUGGGGAGUACGGCCGCAAGGCUAAAACUCAAAAGAAUUGACGGGGGCUCGCGCAAGCGGUGGAGCAUGUGGCUUAAUUCGAUGCAACGCGAAAAACCUUACCGGGGCUUGACAUGGUAGAAGUAGGAACCCGAAAGGGUAACGAACGGUAUCCAGUCCGUAGCUAUCACAGGUGUUGCAUGGCUGUCGUCAGCUCGUGUCGUGAGACGUUGGGUUAAGUCCCCUAACGAGCGAAACCCUUGUUUUUAGUUACCAGCGGGUUAUGCCGGGUACUCUAGAAAGACUGCCGUCGUCAAGACGGAGGAAGGUGGGGAUGACGUCAAGUCAUCAUGGCCCUUAUGCCCCGGGCUGCACACGUGCUACAAUGGUCGGUACAAACGGAUGCGAAGCCGAGAGGUGAAGCGAAUCC
rnacentral:rRNA from 1 species